UACGUGAGAAUCUGCCUUUAGGAGGGGAAUAACAAUUGGAAACGAUUGCUAAUGCCCCAUAUGCUGAGAAGUGAAAGGAGCAAUCCGCCUGAAGAUGAGCUCACGCCUGAUUAGCUAGUUGGUAGAUUAAAAGCCUACCAAGGCAACGAUCAGUAGCUGGUUUGAGAGGAUGAUCAGCCACACUGGGACUGAGAUACGGCCCAGACUUCUACGGAAGGCAGCAGUGGGGAAUUUUCCGCAAUGGGCGAAAGCCUGACGGAGCAAUACCGCGUGAGGGAAGAAUGCCUGUGGGUUGUAAAG
rnacentral:rRNA from 1 species